CAGACACGAAGGAGAGGCCAACAGAUGAGGGAAGCCAUUUUUCUGCAAUGGAAUUAAAUGGCCAAGUGGGUUUUUCCUUUGUUGCAAAUGGGGAAUGUUUUUCCUUUGACUCUACCAUCCAGUUCAGGACGUCUCAGUGUGUUUAACAUUUGUCAACAGGCCCAAGGACUCACAGUUGGAAGACUGGAGAAGACUUUUUAAAAAGAUCUGGAUUUUUCCUUAUGACUUGGAAUCCAUCUUUGUCUUGUAUAACUAGGUCAUAGCACACCAUUCAUGUCAGCAGUUAACAGUUUUGAAUUCCAAAAAAACCUAAAGCAGUAAACAGUCCUCAGCGAAGCCGCCUUUUUGCCUACCCAACCCUGGAAAGUUUGCAGAAGUGGAAGGAGCAGAACGUGAGGGUGUAACUUACAAAAAGGUUCUGGGCCGGAGAAGGGGCGACGUUCGGGCACCCCCCGAAUGGACAAUCUUUCCUUCUGUCAACGGCAGGGGCAGGCCUAGUUUGACUCUGACAGUCCUCCCACUAAGGAAUUCCUGGUGACUGGAAGGGGGAGUGACUCAGGCCCUCAACCUCUAGCAGGUAAGGGAGCUACCUCCUGGGUGGGCAUGCCCAGUUCCUCAGUGGGCCCAGCGCGGCCCAGCCUCCGAGGAAGCUCUGAGCAGCUGGCUUGGCUCCGAGGUAUUUUUAGCUACAGAUCCAGCCCCCCUCCAUCACCACAACAGUCGAGUCCAAAUCAAACGCGCUCCAGGCAGGUGGGGCUGGGGUUCUGCCAGCCUCCUGGCCAGCAGGGGUGGGUGGGCAGACUGGGGCCAGUAUCAGCUGUUCUGCCUGGACCCAGGCCGGGCUGGGAAGGCACACUUGUGCUUAUUUCCCGCCU
ensembl:lncRNA LINC01089 long intergenic non-protein coding RNA 1089